rnacentral:misc_RNA from 1 species
UGUGACCAUACCAAACUGUUGCCUCGGCGGGGUCACGCCCCGGGUGCGUCGCAGCCCCGGAACCAGGCGCCCGCCGGAGGGACCAACCAAACUCUUUCUGUAGUCCCCUCGCGGACGUUAUUUCUUACAGCUCUGAGCAAAAAUUCAAAAUGAAUCAAAACUUUCAACAACGGAUCUCUUGGUUCUGGCAUCGAUGAAGAACGCAGCGAAAUGCGAUAAGUAAUGUGAAUUGCAGAAUUCAGUGAAUCAUCGAAUCUUUGAACGCACAUUGCGCCCGCCAGUAUUCUGGCGGGCAUGCCUGUCCGAGCGUCAUUUCAACCCUCGAACCCCUCCGGGGGGUCGGCGUUGGGGAUCGGGAACCCCUAAGACGGGAUCCCGGCCCCGAAAUACAGUGGCGGUCUCGCCGCAGCCUCUCCUGCGCAGUAGUUUGCACAACUCGCACCGGGAGCGCGGCGCGUCCACGUCCGUAAAACACCCAACUUCUGAAAUGUUGACCUCGGAUCAGGUAGGAAUACCCGCUGAACUUAAGCAUAUCAAA